CUGAUGGGACGGUCUGGCGUUAGGGCGUCAAGGGGAAGCUGGCAAAUGCUAGAGGGGAGAAGAAGGAAGAGAAGCAAUAUCUGGAUAAACGCUUCGAUACUGGAACUCAUGCAAGCUUAAGCUCAAGCUCGUCAAGCCAAGCCAAGCUCAAACACUAGUAAUUAAGCUCAAUCAAGGACUUAUCUGGAAUGAACCAAAACUAUUUUAGACCAACAGAUGCCGUCAGUUUAGCCUUGACAUUGACCAGGUCCAACGCGCAUGAGACAGGGAAGAUGAAACUGUAAGGCAAAACUUUUGGUGAAAUCAGGAGUGGCGUCGAGUGUGGUGAAAUCCCUAAUCAACUCAUCGUCUGCCUCGUUAGAAGUCACACCGCCAAAUGGAUGCAGAGAAGGGCAUAGCUUGUGGGUGUUGUCAUCUUAGCUUUACAAUAAUGAGUGUUCCUGGAACUGCAUAAGAGAAUAGAGUGCUUGUAGUAUGAGGCUGGCGGGGAUGGAGGACACGGCGGAGCUGCUGGAGAAGAAGCUAGCGUCGGAAAUUUCGAAGAUGAGCUUAGAGGAGGCACUCACUCUCGCUCGUGCUUUCAGCCAUUACCUCAAUUUGUUGGGCAUUGCUGAAGCUCAUCACAGGUCACUCAACGACUUG